rnacentral:lncRNA from 10 species
GAGUAGCCGGGACUACAGGUUGGCAUUCUUCUUGUUUCGUCUCCUCCUCCUUUCCCUGGAUGAUCUUAUUUCCUCCCUGGUCUUUAACCAUCACCUGCAGGCUGACAGCUCCCAAAUCUCUAUCUUCAAUCCAGAUGUCUGUCCCGGGCUCCAGUUUUGUGGUUCCACCUGAGACCUUUCCACCUAUAUGCUUUACAGGUCACAGAAUUUUCCACACUCCUUGACAGAGGUGCUUAACCCUUAUCCAUCAGCAUUCUCAGACAGCACCUCCGGUUAGGGACAGUAUCUGACCGUCCGACAUCCCUGCAGCCCCCAUGUGUCACACAGACUCAGCCUCAGGUAGAUGGUUUCCGUAGAUGGUGGCUUUCUUUGGACCCUUGACAUCAACCAGUUACUAUUUGACUCUUCUGCAGAACCCCAUGUUGACCCCUGCUUUGAGGUGGCAGAGUUAACACUACUCUUCGUUAUAAGCUCUCGUCUGGGGCAACUCAGAAGAACGGGACCAGAUGUGCAGAGGUAAUGAAUACCAGGGAAUCAGGAAACCACUGGAUCAGUUCUUUGAGCCACAGAACAACACUCAUCCCAGCAGCUGGGAAGCUAUCUGCAAAAGUCCAUCUGCAGAAAGGGCUUCCUGGUCUUGCGUGUGGCUGGGCCAUUUCUCUGGAUGCAGGUUUUUCAUUAUACAGUCUUCUCAAAGAACCACCUGCUCUCAACACC